rnacentral:lncRNA from 1 species
ACCUAGCUCUCAAACAGGUAAGUAAGAAACCAGCUGCAGACAUGAUCUAUGUCAUAUAUAUAUCUGUAUUUCCAAUGUGUAGGUCACUGUCUAUGCCAUAAUGAUAAAUAACAUCACACACCAUGUUAAUAAUAAUUGUAUUCACUUAUAUAAUAUUUAGGUUGUAGUGAUCAUAUAAUUUAAACACAUUAAUUAAUUUCAUCUUAUGACAAUUGUAUGAGAUAGGCAUUAUUAUUAUAUUUGUUUCAUAGAUGAGGAAAUUAAAGUCUGUUAACAAAUGAGAGAAUGGAAGCCUGCUGGAUGUAAUGAUAUGGACUGUCUGGAGACAAUUUCUCAUAUCUAAAGAGUAAGUCCAACAGGAGGAAUUUGUGCUCUGUACACUAUUUAAGAAGAGAAAGUAUUGGGGGCACAUGGCCCCAGAAUGGGAGAGAACGAGUCUUUGAAAUUACUUCAGUGACACAUGAUGGACUUAGUAUUUCAGGGGUCUCUCCUUGUCGGUGGUCUUGCUUCAAACAUCUCUUCUCUAUCAUUUUUUCUGAUUUUUUUUUAAAAAGAAGUGCUGGAGCUAAGAAUAUUUAAAUGUGUUGUCCAGGUCAGAACAGUUCUGUGAGGAAGUUAGAACUCCACAAUUCAAGUAUCAUAACCAGUUAUGGGAACUUGUGGGACCAUGUUGGACCUCGGUACUCUUCUUGCCCUGAAUGUCUCUGCAUUGGUAUUCUAUGCUAUAUAACAAAUAAUCAAAAACCUAGCAGCUUAAAAGAAUAUAUGUUUACUAUCUCAGUUUCAGUGGAUCAGGAGUUUGAGAAUGGCGUAUCUAGAUAUCACAAUGUUGAAAACUGUCAGCCAAACUGUGUUCUCAUCUGGAGGGUUGGAUUGGGGAAGAAUAUACAUCACAUAGGUUAUGAGCAGAAUUCAUUUCCCUGCAGAUGUAGAACUGAAGGCCUGAGAUUCUUGCUGAUUGUUGUGUGACAGCUGCCCUCAGCUUCUUACGUGUAUCCGAAGGAUCGUAAAUGAAGAAGUCUCAGACGGUACCUCAAAGAUCUCACUCAGGUCACCUGAGAAUGUGCUUCGUUAAUUAUUAGUGUUUUCACUUCAGGGUAGUGGAAACGGUGUCAGGUAACGAUCUUCAUUUAGUAUUCAGGACGGGUGGAGUCUACCUCCCGUACUCAUAGUCUUCUAUCCUAAGAGUCCUCAGUACGAUCCAAAAUAGACGGUGUCAGAGAGUCUCGAGUGAAUUUCCUUUGAGAUAAUCCGUCUUGACAAUACACCUGACGUAAGUGGUUCAUACGCUUUCUCGUUAUAGUCCCUGGAACAGACUUAACAAGUUUCUCCAUAGGGUGCAGAUUUUCUGUCGGACGGUGGAGUAGGUUUUUCCAGACAGACAGGUACCUUUUUACUCUCUCACUGAAGAGAAUUGUACAGACAAUAUGUCUUUUUUUAUUCAUUUAUUUGUUUGUACUGUCCGUCCUUUUCCCGAUCUUUUAGAUGAAUGACAAUAAAACUACCGAGAAGUGAUGAUAAACGAGGGUCAAUUGAUCAGAAUAAAAGAUACACAGAAGGUCAUUGACAAAGAUGUUGUUUAGAAAAAAAAUUGGCUAGGAAAAAAGGGAAGAGGAAGUAGACUCUCUGUGAGGGCCCCUUUUCUGGUGGACUGAAACCCAAACUGCUUUCUGGAGGGCUUGAAACCCAGCCCCCAGGAGUCUUUGGUAGUCCUUGAUCUUCAGAGAGAAACUCUGGCAGGGCUAUGAAAAUGUCAACAAAGGUGUUUAUUUAUUUAUUUAUUUAUUUAUUUAUUUUAUUCCUUCCUUUUCAACAAUACUGUGCUUUGUUUUUUUCCCAUAUUUUUUAUUGAGAAAAUUUUUAUUUUAUUGGGAAAUUUAUUUAUAGUUGGACAUAAUGGUGGUAUUUGUUGUUACGUAUUCAUACAUAAUAGAACAGUAUAAUUUAGCUAUUACCAUCCCCCAGUUCUUCUCUUUCUUCUUCUCCUCCCUUCCCCAUCCCUUUCCUCUAUUCUACUGAUCUCCCUUCAAGUUUCAUGAGACCCCACGACACACACACCUUUCUUUUGCUUUUUCUUUUCUAGCUUCCACAUAUGAGAAAACAUACAACCCUUGACCUUCUGAGUUUGGUUUGUUUUGCUCAAUAUAUGUUCUCAAGUUCCAUCUUCUUUCCUGAAAAUGACACAAUUUCAUUUUUCUUUAUGUCAUGUCUUUCUUUCUUACAGUACUUUAUGGCUGGCAAACCUCUUUCAGACAAAAUUUGCUUUGAGUCUUAAUCUCCAGGGGCAACACUGGACACAAAGAGAAAGCAAAUGGAAAGACAGGGAAAAUGUCAAAGAGCCAAACAAAGACCAAAGCAGAUGCUUGGAUCCCUGAACACCUGACUAUUCCUGAAGCGUUUCCCCACUAGGCCUCUUGCAUGGCAGUACUUUUGACCCAGGUGCUGAGGCUGUGGACACGAAAUAGGUAGGCGCAGAUGCACCCAGAAGACUCUCAAGACAGUACUUUGCCAUUUUUUAAAACAUGUAGAUAUAAGACAGAGGUUGAGUAGCAAACAGCCACAUGAUAGACAAGUUUAACAUUUAAAAUACUGGCUAUGGUCCACGUGCAAGUGUGUGCUCAAGUGGUAGAUACAGGAAUCGGAGAGCGUGCCCAAACUCACACUCUAUAAAUUGUGUUAUUAUGAAGCAGGGAACAGGGACUCUUUAAGAGGAAAGAAAACAGGGCUUUCUAGGCACAGAAGUUCAAGGUGAGUGAGGACAGACAAGUACAGGGAUCAGCAUUAGAGACUGCCUUGGGCCUCCCUUUCAGUAGAUUUUUAACAACUCCAACUGCACAGAAACUGUCAAAUGGGAAAGAGGAGCCAUUCCAGACUGAGCCUUCACAAAAAUUUAUGAAUUGGAACAUAAUAUAUAACUAAGAGGUAGGCACUGAAAUCCAACCAGGAAAAAUUCUAAGAAGGAGAAAUCUUCUCCCAAGAAGAAACAGUGACCAUGAAAACCUAAAAUUAAAAAUAUCAGCAAGUAAUCACUGUUGCCAUUUCCCCCCAUGACUUUGAGCUGCUAAUUGUGUUAGGAGUUUCUAAGAAAUUCUCACUUGUAUCACUGAUAGUCCUAUCUCACCAGCAGCUCCAGAAACUCUGUAACCUGGCAUUCCUCCAAAGUCUAAAGGUUUUAUUCCUCUUGUUCUUUCCCUCCUUUCUCUACCUUAUGGUUAAUGAUGAGACAUGAUAUUCUCUUGCUAUUACUGCUGAAUGAGAGGGUUGGAGAGGAGGCCCAGAAUACUUUUUCUCCUUCCAUAAGUUGCUCAAAUCAUCCUUCAAUCCCAACUAACCAGGAGCGAAGCCUAAAGGUAUUUAGACUCUCAAAUACUGACCUAUCUGUCCAAUUUCUGUAAUUAUAAAUAUUUUUAGAGAGAGAGAGAGAGAAAUAGAAUUUUUUAAUUUUAAUUUUUUAGUUUUCUGUGGACACAACAUCUUUAUUUUAUUUGUAUGUGGUGCUGAGAAUCGAACCCAGUGCCCCGAGCAUGCCAGGCGAGCAUGCUACCGCUUGAGCCACAUCCCCAGCCCCAAUUAUAAAUAUUUUUAAAAGAUAUAUUUGAACUUUGAAUGCACAGGGUUAGGGUAGUUUCUCUCUAGAGACAAAAUGUACAUUGGCAAAUAUUUUAUAUGCGACUCAGGGACAGACAGAAUUCCUUGAACUAGCUACAAAGAUACGCAGUCACAGGAGUGUCCCCUUCUCUCCAGAUAGAGAAGCCAUUGAGAACAGGAUGUGCUGCAUUCUUUGGGUACACCAUGAACAAAAAGGUUAUACUGUGAACUUAAUGGACCUAAACAUUAACUGGUAAUUGAGAAGAGGGCUAGGCAUACCAAGGAUGCUCAGUCCAAGUUCUCAGGGCCUUUAAUAUAUACAAGAAUGAUAAAAAUAGGGGAGGGGGAAGUGGUAAAGGAGAAAAACAUGCAAACUGCGAGUAGAUAAGUGUCACCUCAAAACUUAUGGUCAAGACCAAAUAGCAUUCAAUAAAAUUGAAAUGUUGGGCUGGGGAUGUGGCUCAAGCAGUAGCGCACUCGCCUGGCAUGCGUGCCGCCCGGGUUCGAUCCUCAGCACCACAUACAAAGAUGUUGUGUCCGCCGAAAACUAAAAAAUAAAUAUUAAAAUUCUCUCUCUCUCUCUCUCUCUCUCUCUCUCUCUCUCUCUCUCUCUCUCUUUAAAAAAAAUUGAAAUGUUAUUUUGUGCUUAAGGAAUAAAGUUGAACAAAAGGUCAAAAGACGGAAAAUAAAUUUAUCUGGGACUUGAACAGUCUAAGCAACAGAUUCUAUGUUGUCAUUUGAGAUAACACUUGCCAGAUUAUAUUAAGGUUCACUAAAAGUUGUUCUCCAAGUUGACAAAGUAACCAAGUCUUUUUUCUAGGCUUUUCUUUCUUUUCUUUUGUUUUUGUUCAUUUGUUUUACCUGCAGACUUUUGAUGGCUGGAUUGAGAAGAUAGUAAAUAAGAAAACAUGUAUAAAAUCAGAUAAUUCUGGCUCCCUUUGGGUGUCAUUGCUAAUGGGUGAUAAACAAUUCAGGCCUUCUCUUUCUCCAUUUGGAAAACAUUGACUUGGUAUUAGUUUGCCAGUGCUGCCAUAACACAGUACCACAGACUAGGUGGCUUCAGCAGUGGAGAGUUAUUUUCAUAGAGUUCUGAAGACUAGAAUCUUGAGACCAAGGGGUGAGCAAAGUUGGUUUCUCUUAAGGAAUUCCUCUAUGGCUUUUAGAAAGCCAUCUUGUCCUAAUGUCAUCUUAAAAAGACAUCAGCCAUAUCCAACUAAGGCCACUAUAGCUCUUUUAAACUUAAUUGCCUCUUUAAAGGGAUCUCUAAAUACAGCCACAUUCUGAGGACUGGGGAUUAGGAAUAUAAAUUUGGGGGUGGGGAAAACAAAUUCAUCCCAUAACAGUCUUUGAGGAAGUAGAGACAAGAUGAAAAUUUUUAGAGGGAUCUUUAAUCCACUUCACAUUCUCCCAUACCCUGAGGACUCUGUGGAGGACAAAGAUUCCCAGCUUCUCCUGUGGCCAGGGAUGAUUCUUAAUUUGAAAAUCCAUAGUUGGGUCUAGGAUUUGGCCUCGGGGUUCUUUGUGGAAAGUCAAGCAAUGAUCAGAGGGAAUUUACAGCAGUGUUUCCUCUCUCUUCUAUGUCAAAACUAUAGUUUCUAAGUGGACAUUAUAACUGCUCUCACACACAUACUAGUACAGCUGUAUUUUGGAGGUGUCAAUAUCAUUUAAUUACAAAAUACAAAAUAUUUACACUUUUUAUCUCAAUUUUCUAAAAUGUGAUGCACAUGCCAUUGGCAAUACCUGAGACAUUAUUGUGUGGCACAUAAGCAGAGUGUUAAGUAGCAUUAAAUCAAAUAGUGAGGAAGUUAUUUCCUUGCACUAUUUUUAGUUCUUUUGGUUAAACCAAAAAGAAUGUGUCAUAUUGGAAUUAAUAUCCCUUAAACACUUGACAGAGAGCAGACCUUAGGUCAGAGACUUUAGCAAACAAAAAUAUUCAUCUAGAGCCUAAUAGCAUUGUUUAGUCUCUGUUAUAGUUAUUCUUGUACUUAAAUUCCUCAUUGAGGAAGUGAUAAUGUUCUUCCAUUUACUUUUUUAAAUCAAUCUUUAUUUAAUAUUGAGUUAAUUUAAAGAAAACAUUAAGGGAAUAGUAGUGCAGGUAGUAUUUAAAUGUGGCAAAUAUUAUGCUGUCAAGUUACAAGUGACUAAAAUUUGGGGAAAAUUGUUUUCAUCUAAUUCUUCUUCUUUUUUUUAAUUGUAGUGGUAGAUGGACAGAAUGUCUUUAUUUAUUUCUGUAAUUUUUUUAAUGUGGUGCUAAGGAUUGGACCCAGUGCCUCACUCAUGCUAGGCAAGUGCUCUGCCACUAAGCUAUAGUCCCAGUCCUUUCAUCUAAGUCUUCAAGCAAAUUUACAAGGUUUGAUCAUAUUCAACCACAUUUUGAUAAAGAAAAAAUUGAGGCUCAACAUGGCUGUUUUUCAGUCUCCCACUUAGUUAUUUACAGAGCCAGGAUUCACAUACAUGUGGCUGACUAAAAGGAUUAUGCCCUUAAUUACUAAACCAUGUCACUUAUCCAUCAGACCCUCUGCAGCACUUUGAGUAAAAGAAGGUAAGUCCCUAAAGGAAAAUACCUGAGCUAUGGGAAGGAGGGCCAACAUAAGUUGGGAUUUGACUGGUAUGUGAAUACAGUAGUCUCCUCUUAUUCCUAUUUUUGCUUUCUGCAGUUUCAGCAGUCAUCAGAGAAUUGGAAAGUGGAAAGUUCCAGAAAUAAACAACUGCACGCUGUUCUCAAUAGUGGAGUAAAAUCUUACACUGUCCUGCUGUCUCCUCAGGAAGUGGAUCAUCCUUUUGUCCAAUGUAUCCAUGCUGUAUAUGCUACUUGCCCUUUACUCACUUAGCCAUCUUGGUUAUCAGUUCCACUGCUGCAAUAUCUCACAGUGCUUGUUUUCAAGUAAACUUUAUUUUACUUGAACAAAGUGCAACAGUAGUGAUGCUAAUAAUUUGGAUGUGUCAAAGAGAGGCCACAGGGAAAUUCCCUGAAGGGAAAAAAGUGAAAGUUCUCUAUUUAAUAAGGAAAGAAAAAGGUUGUAUGCUGAGGAUGCUAAGAUCUAUGGUAAGAACAAAUCUUCUAUUAAAUUGUGAAGAAUGAAGAAGAAUUUCAUGCUAGUUUUGCUAUCAUAACACAAACUGAAAAAGUUAUAGCCAUGGUACAUGAUAAACACUGAGUUGAGAUGGAAAAGACAUUAAAAUUGUGUCUGCAUAUAUAGGAAAAACCAGAAUGUACAGGGUUUGAUACUAUCCAGUUUUCGGCAUUCACUGAAUGGCUUAGAAUGUAUCUCUUGUGGAUACCGGGUGGGGUAGGGGAGAACUAUUGUGCUUAUUUAGUCACCAAUAAAUUUGACCUGAGUGUCUUCUGUCAGUCAAUAAA